AUUGAACGCUGGCGGCAUGCUUUACACAUGCAAGUCGAACGGUAACAGGCCUUCGGGCGCUGACGAGUGGCGAACGGGUGAGUAAUGCAUCGGAACGUGCCCAGUCGUGGGGGAUAACGCAGCGAAAGCUGUGCUAAUACCGCAUACGAUCUGCGGAUGAAAGCGGGGGACCUUCGGGCCUCGCGCGAUUGGAGCGGCCGAUGUCAGAUUAGGUAGUUGGUGGGGUAAAGGGGCACCAAGACAACGAUCUGUAGCUGGUCUGAGCGGACGACCAGCCACACUGGGACUGAGACACGGCCCAGACUCCUACGGGAGGCAGCAGUGGGGAAUUUUGGACAAUGGGCGCAAGCCUGAUCCAGCAAUGCCGCGUGCAGGAAGAAGGCCUUCGGGUUGUAAACUGCUUUUGUACGGAGCGAAAAGGCUCCCUCUAAUACAGGGGGCUCAUGACGGUACCGUAAGAAUAAGCACCGGCUAACUACGUGCCAGCAGCCGCAGUAACAC
rnacentral:rRNA from 1 species